rnacentral:lncRNA from 1 species
GAUGGUUCUGCUCCGGGAAGACCCAAAGAAACCCAGAGCACAGUCAGAGUGCCAACACAGGUUGAAGGAGAGGUGUGAGGAGAAGGGGAGGUUGUGAAAAGUGCAAUGGCUAUAGGANGCGGGAGAGGAGAGAGAGCAUGUCCUGUGAGCGCAUUGGGAGGGAUAGGAGGGAGGCUACUUGGCCCUUCCCCAGCACAGGUGGAAGAAGGAAAUCUGGAUAGCUGGGACAGAGUGGAGAUCAAUGCCAAUGACUCAAAAUGCAGGCACAAAACAAAGUUUGUUAGCUCCCCAGGGUGUGAUCACUACUGAAGCCUCACUUUGACAAAAGGAGGAGGACCACAUGGGGUACCGCAGCAAGGCGUGGUUGGAAUAGCCUUCAUCAGGGCUCCCAUUGACCACUCUUGCCAUUGGUUAACAGAGUAGCUCUGACUCNCUGGGGAUGAUGGUGUUCCUCCCAGCCUAACAGAUUCCCUAAGCUGGGCCCUUUUCCCUUUCUCUUUCCCCUCCUGGCCAUCCUGACUCGAUGGGAAGUCUGGGUGCAUGGCUGAAGAUCCCAACACUACAUUGCUAGCUGAGGAUGUCCCUCCCACACACUUGCCAAAGUAGAGUGGGCUGGGUCUCUUUCCCANGUCCUAUGUUAGAAAUGUGCUUUAUUCAUUUAUUUUUGCUAUUACUUAUUAUAUGUAUAUGGGGCCGGGUAACACACAUGACAUUGUGCAUAUAUGGAGGUUGGAGAACACUUUGUGAGAGUCAGUUCUCAACUACCAGGUGAGUUCCAGGGAUUGGUGGCAGUCAGGCUGGUAGCAAGCAUUCUUACCUGCUGAGCCANNUCAGCAGCCCUCAAAGAUAUUUUCAGUGUGACUUUGCUGUCAUUAAGGGUUUCAUGUAGAAUCCAUGUGCUGUCAUUAAGGGUUGCGUGUAGAAUCCAUCACCUUUACUCUUUCUGAAAUAGUCAACUUCCCUGGAGGCCACCACUCAAAAGUUUUACUGUCCCAGACUCCAGUGGCUUCACUUGGUAUACACAUUUAAACAAUAUUAUGAAAGAUACGGUGUCAUUAUAUUCUGUUUAUAAUUAAUAAUACUAACUAAUAUAACACAUGCCAAAAUUUAACUGUGAAUAUAUCAUGAAAUACAUAAUAUGUAUAUUGAUAUAGUUGCAAUAAAAUAGUAUAUAAUCC